rnacentral:rRNA from 1 species
GACGAACGCUGGCGGCGUGCUUAACACAUGCAAGUCGAACGCAAAGUCCCUGCUUUUGUUUGGUGCUCCAGUGGCGAACAGGUGAGUAACACGGGAUUAACCUGCCCUUGCCUUUGUGAUAACUGCGGGAAACUAGGGCUAAUACCGGAUAGGAGCUCCUGCUGCUUGGUAUGGGUUGGAAAUUUUCGGCGGGUGGGGAUGGACUCGCGGCUUAUCAGCUUGUUGGUGGAGUAGUUGCUUACCAAGGCUUUGACGGGUAGCCGGCCUGAGAGGGUGACAGGCCACAUUGGGCUUGAGAAGGGGGCAAGAGUCCUACGGGAGCCAUCAGUGGGAAAUAUUGCACACUGCGCGGAAGCAUGAUAGAGCAACGUCGCGUGCUGGAUCACGGCCUUCGGGGUGUAACCCGUUUUAGCCUGUGAAGAAGAGUGAGUGACGGUAAUGGGUAAAAAAGCAAGGGCUAACUACGUG